rnacentral:rRNA from 1 species
ACGGGUGAGUAACACGUGAGCAACCUGCCCCUGACUCUGGGAUAAGCCCGGGAAACUGGGUCUAAUACCGGAUACGACCGCCCCCGGCAUCGGGUGGUGGUGGAAAGUUUUUCGGUUGGGGAUGGGCUCGCGGCCUAUCAGCUUGUUGGUGGGGUAGUGGCCUACCAAGGCGACGACGGGUAGCCGGCCUGAGAGGGCGACCGGCCACACUGGGACUGAGACACGGCCCAGACUCCUACGGGAGGCAGCAGUGGGGAAUAUUGCGCAAUGGGCGGAAGCCUGACGCAGCGACGCCGCGUGGGGGAUGACGGCCUUCGGGUUGUAAACCUCUUUCAGCAGGGACGAAGUUGACGUGUACCUGCAGAAGAAGCGCCGGCUAACUACGUGCCAGCAGCCGCGGUAAUACGUAGGGCGCAAGCGUUGUCCGGAAUUAUUGGGCGUAAAGAGCUCGUAGGUGGCUGGUCGCGUCUGCCGUGAAAGCCCGCAGCUUAACUGCGGGUCUGCGGUGGAUACGGGCCGGCUAGAGGUAGGUAGGGGCAAGUGGAAUUCCUGGUGUAGCGGUGAAAUGCGCAGA